AAACUUAAGAGUUUGAUUCUGGCUCAGGACGAACGCUGGCGGUGUGCUUAAUACAUGCAAGUCGAGCGGAGUUCGAGAAGCUUGCUUCUUGAACUUAGCGGCGGACGGGUGAGUAACGCGUGAGCAACCUGA
rnacentral:rRNA from 1 species